GACGAACGCUGGCGGCGUGCUUAACACAUGCAAGUCGAACGGAAAGGCCCUGCUUGCAGGGUGCUCGAGUGGCGAACGGGUGAGUAACACGUGGGUGAUCUGCCCCUUACUUUGGGAUAAGCCUGGGAAACUGGGUCUAAUACUGGAUAGGACCAUGCUGUAGGUGGUGUGGUGGAAAGAUUAGUUUCGGUAAGGGAUGAGCUCGCGGCCUAUCAGCUUGUUGGUGGGGUAAUGGCCUACCAAGGCGUCGACGGGUAGCCGGCCUGAGAGGGUGGACGGCCACAUUAGGACUGAGAUACGGCCCAGACGCCUACGAGAGGCAGCAGUGGGGAAUAUUGCACAAUGGGCGGAAGCCUGAUGCAGCGACGCCGCGGGGGGGAUGACGGCCGUCGGGUUGUAGACUCCUUUCAGCCAUGACGAAGCCCUUGUGGUGACGGUAGUGGUAGAAGAAGCACCGGCUAACUACGUG
rnacentral:rRNA from 1 species